UGUAGCUCAGUGGUAAAGCACUUGACUAGCAGUCAUGAGGCCCUGAGUUCAAUCCUCAGCA
rnacentral:tRNA from 1 species